GACGAACGCUGGCGGCGUGCUUAACACAUGCAAGUCGAACGGUGAAGCGCCUUCCUUUUUGGUGGGUGUGGAUGAGUGGCGAACGGGUGAGUAACACGUGAGUAACCUGCCCCCUUCUUCUGGUUAACCGCAUGAAAGUGUGGCUAAUACGGGAUAUUCUGGGUCUGUCGCAUGAUGGGUCUGGGAAAGAUAUUGUUUCGGUGGGGGAUGGGCUCGCGGCCUAUCAGCUUGUUGGUGGGGUGAUGGCCUACCAAGGCGGUGACGGGUAGCCGGCCUGAGAGGGUGGACGGUCACACUGGGACUGAGACACGGCCCAGACUCCUACGGGAGGCAGCAGUGGGGAAUAUUGCACAAUGGGCGCAAGCCUGAUGCAGCGACGCCGCGUGAGGGAUGGAGGCCUUCGGGUUGUGAACCUCUUUCGCCAGUGAAGCAGGCCUGCCUCGUUUGUGGGUGGGUUGACGGUAGCUGGAUAAGAAGCGCCGGCUAACUACGUG
rnacentral:rRNA from 1 species